CUACACGACCGUACCGCAAACCGACACUGGUGCGCGAGAUGAGUAUUCUAAGGCGCUUGAGAGAACUCAGGAGAAGGAACUCGGCAAAUUGACACCGUAACUUCGGAAGAAGGUGUGCCUUUAGUAGGUGAACCUGUACAAGGGGAGCCCAAUGAGGUUGCAAAAAAUCGGUGGCUGCGACUGUUUAAUAAAAACACAGCACUCUGCAAACACGAAAGUGGACGUAUAGGGUGUGACGCCUGCCCGGUGCUGGAAGAUUAAAUGAUGGGGUGCAAGCUCUUGAUUGAAGUCCCAGUAAACGGCGGCCGUAACAAUAACGGUCCUAAGGUAGCGAAAUUCCUUGUCUGGUAAGUUCCGACCUGCACGAAUGGCGUAACGAUGGCCACACUGUCUCCUCCUGAGACUCAGCGAAGUUGAAAUGUUUGUGAUGAUGCAAUCUCCCCGCGGAAAGACGGAAAGACCCCAUGAACCUUUACUGUAGCUUUGUAUUGGACUUUGAACAGAUCUGUGUAGGAUAGGUGGGAGGCUUUGAAGUGUGGUCGCUAGAUCGCAUGGAGCCAACGUUGAAAUACCACCCUGGUGUGUUUGAGGUUCUAACCUAGGCCCGUAAUCCGGGUCGGGGACAGUGCAUGUAGGCAGUUUGACUGGGGCGGUCUCCUCCCAAAGCGUAACGGAGGAGUUCGAAGGUACGCUAGGUACGGUCGGACAUCGUGCUAAUAGUGCAAUGGCAUAAGCGUGCUUAACUGCGAGACUGACAAGUCGAGCAGAUGCGAAAGCAGGACAUAGUGAUCCGGUGGUUCUGUAUGGAAGGGCCAUCGCUCAACGGAUAAAAGGUACUCUGGGGAUAACAGGCUGAUACCGCCCAAGAGUUCAUAUCGACGGCGGUGUUUGGCACCUCGAUGUCGGCUCAUCUCAUCCUGGGGCUGUAGCCGGUCCCAAGGGUAUGGCUGUUCGCCAUUUAAAGAGGUACGUGAGCUGGGUUUAAAACGUCGUGAGACAGUUUGGUCCCUAUCUUCCGUGGGCGCUGCAGAUUUGAGGAAGCCUGCUCCUAGUACGAGAGGACCGGAGUGGACACACCUCUGGUGUAUCGGUUGUCACGCCAGUGGCAUUGCCGAGUAGCUAUGUGUGGAAGAGAUAACCGCUGAAAGCAUCUAAGCGGGAAACUCGUUUCAAGAUGAGAUCUGCCGGGGCCUUGAGCCCCCUAAAGAGUCGUUCAAGACCAGGACGUUGAUAGGUCGGGUGUGGAAGCGCAGUAAUGCGUUAAGCUAACCGAUACUAAUUGCUCGUGCGGCUUGACC
rnacentral:rRNA from 1 species